UGGGGGUGGGGGGGUGACAGAGACAUUCUUCAUUCGUAUGCUCAUGAUGACGUCAGCACGGGUUCAUGGUUUGUGGGUCUUGAUGUUAAGCAUGUAGAUGAAGGAAAGUUUUGCUGUUCUGCGUGGUCCUCA